GUGGGGAAUCUUCCGCAAUGGACGAAAGUCUGACGGAGCGACGCCGCGUGAGUGAAGAAGGCCUUCGGGUCGUAAAGCUCUGUCAUCAGGGACGAACGGCCGGUGGAGUGGAAAGCCACCGGAUUGACGGUACCUGAGAAGGAAGCCACGGCUAACUACGUGCCAGCAGCCGCGGUAAUACGUAGGUGGCAAGCGUUGUCCGGAAUUAUUGGGCGUAAAGCGCGCGCAGGUGGGAUCUUAAGUCCAUUUUGAAAGUUCGGAGCUCAACUCCGUGAUGGGAUGGAAACUGGGAUUCUUGAGUACCGGAGAGGAAAGCGGAAUUCCCCGUGUAGCGGUGAAAUGCGUAGAUAUGGGGAGGAACACCAGUGGCGAAGGCGGCUUUCUGGACGGUGUCUGACACUGAGGCGCGAAAGCUAGGGGAGCGAACGGGAUUAGAUACCCUUGUAGUCC
rnacentral:rRNA from 1 species